rnacentral:tRNA from 1 species
UGUAUUUAGGUGUAUGAGGCACUUAUAUUUUUGAUGUAUAAGGAGAAAGUUUAAUUCUUUUAAGUACAA